GCGGGUGUGGCGGAACUGGCAGACGCGCGGGAUUUAGGUUCCCGUGCCCGCAAGGGCUUACAGGUUCGAUUCCUGUCACCCGCA
rnacentral:tRNA from 1 species